GAACGGGUGAGUAACACGUGGGUAACCUGCCCAUCAGAAGGGGAUAACACUUGGAAACAGGUGCUAAUACCGUAUAACAAUCGAAACCGCAUGGUUUUGAUUUGAAAGGCGCUUUCGGGUGUCGCUGAUGGAUGGACCCGCGGUGCAUUAGCUAGUUGGUGAGGUAACGGCUCACCAAGGCCACGAUGCAUAGCCGACCUGAGAGGGUGAUCGGCCACAUUGGGACUGAGACACGGCCCAAACUCCUACGGGAGGCAGCAGUAGGGAAUCUUCGGCAAUGGACGAAAGUCUGACCGAGCAACGCCGCGUGAGUGAAGAAGGUUUUCGGAUCGUAAAACUCUGUUGUUAGAGAAGAACAAGGAUGAGAGUAACUGUUCAUCCCUUGACGGUAUCUAACCAGAAAGCCACGGCUAACUACGUGCCAGCAGCCGCGGUAAUACGUAGGUGGCAAGCGUUGUCCGGAUUUAUUGGGCGUAAAGCGAGCGCAGGC
rnacentral:rRNA from 1 species